rnacentral:rRNA from 1 species
UACGUAGGGGGCUAGCGUUGUCCGGAAUCAUUGGGCGUAAAGAGCGUGUAGGCGGCCCGGUAAGUCCGCUGUGAAAGUCGGGGGCUCAACCCUCGAAUGCCGGUGGAUACUGUCGGGCUAGAGUGCGGAAGAGGCGAGUGGAAUCCUGGUGUAGCGGUGAAAUGCGCAGAUAUCAGGAGGAACACCGGUGGCGAAGGCGGAUCUCUGGGCCUUACCUGACGCUCGAGGUGCGAAAGCUAGGGGAGCGAACAGG